rnacentral:rRNA from 1 species
GGCCCUACGGGGGGCAGCAGUGGGGAAUAUUGGACAAUGGGGGAAACCCUGAUCCAGCGACGCCGCGUGAGUGAAGAAGUAUUUCGGUAUGUAAAGCUCUAUCAGCAGGGAAGAAAAUGACGGUACCUGACUAAGAAGCCCCGGCUAACUACGUGCCAGCAGCCGCGGUAAUACGUAGGGGGCAAGCGUUAUCCGGAUUUACUGGGUGUAAAGGGAGCGUAGACGGCAUUGCAAGUCUGAAGUGAAAGCCCGUGGCUCAACCGCGGAACUGCUUUGGAAACUGUAUAGCUUGAGUACUGGAGAGG